CAGUCGCCGCGGGAAUACGGGGGGGGCAAGUGUUAUUCGGAAUGACUGGGCGUAAAGGGCACGUAGGCGGUGAAAAGGGUGGAAAGUGAAAGUCGCCAAAACACUGGCGGGGUGCUUUCUUGACCAUUUCACUUGAGUGAGAUAGGGGAGAGUGGAAUUUCGUGUGGAGGGAUCAAAUCCUAAGAUAUACGAAGGAACGCCAACCGCGAAGGCAGCUCUCUGGGUCCCCACUGACGCUGGGGUGCGAAAGCAUGGGGAGCAAACAGGAUCAGAUACCCCAGUAGUCCCUGUCUCUUAUACA
rnacentral:rRNA from 1 species